AUGAAAAAGUGGAAGGAGGUGGGCCCUUGGCGUACGGGUGGGACGGCUGGGGCGCAGUCGUGGGCCAGUCCGUGGACCAGGACGUUAGUGUUUUUUCCGAUCCAUGGAUCAGAUCAGAGAAACAAGACGUCACGCGAAAAGCCGAGCCGUCUGUCCAUCACGUUUCGCACACACGUGCGUCGUUCGUUCUGGAAACCCUUGCCGCCCAACCACCCUCCACACCCACAGUAAUAGUUGAGGCGGCGGCCGCACCACGACCCUCCCCUUCGGCCGCCGCUGCACCACUCUGCACGACCGUCUAGGGUGUUCCUUGAGGUGACGCUAGCUCGUCUACCCCUGGGAUUUGGUGAGACCAUGGAAGAUGCGGGCAUGGAGUUCCUCCUCGAUUCCGUUGACAGGUUUCCCCUGCUUGAGGAAUUCGCAGACAGCCAUGAGCAGCCGGAUCCAGUUCCUCUGGCUUUGUUGGCGAAUGGAGUAGAACGAGCGGCAGUCCAGGCAGAUUCCAAUGCUGGCUCUGAUUGUGGUCAGCAGAUCGGCGGCGACAGAAAUGAUGAAGCGCGUUCUGGCGUUCGCCGACGACAGGAGAUGUCCCCCUUGAGGUCUGCGCAGUCUACCAACAGAGUAAAUCCCUAGGCCCCUGGAUGGACAAAAAGUGAAAACAAAGAAAUUCGUGGUAGCAAUUAUAAUUUGAGUUUUUAGUCUAAUUGAUCGAUAUCAAGUUAUCAACCCAUUUGCAUCAGAGAUAAAUUGGUAGGUAAAGCACAUUAGGUAGUGAUUGAUCACAACCGAGGGGUUGAAUAAACUGCUGGCCUGUCUAAACAGAAAACAGCUCUGCGUAUCAAAACUGAAUAUACGUCUUUUUAUUCUGAAAUGCGGAUUAAGACUUCGUAGUGCGCCACUAGACCGGACUCCAUGUCCAUCCCGAAUGAGUGCUAUGGAGCAGUUGAUUCGGAAAUACGUGGAGGAACCAACAAAAAGUGUAUUAAGACCUGAACUUUUAUUGAGUUUUGAUUCAUUGCGCGAAGUGGACGGACUUCUACAAUCUAUACUUGUUGGAAAAUGGCUUUGGUAUUAGAUAUGGCAAGAGCGGGCUGAAUGCAGAGAGAAUUAAAUGCAUGCAAGAAAUCGUCUUCGGAUGUUUGGGCAAGCCAGAGACAGAGAAUAGAAGAUCAUGUAGGUGCGAGUGUCCAGCUUUGAUUAGGUUGCUACGUGCUACGGAUAACAGUUGGUACAUUACAGAGCACCGUGAGAGCCACAACCACUCCAUGUCGCUGACUAUGGGCGAAAAAGUGCACUGGCCAUCCCACAAGCACAUCGAUGUGUACACUAAGGAUUUGAGAAAGCAGUUGAGGGAGAAUAAUGUGAAUCUUGGUAAAGUGUACCGGAUAAUUGGCAGUUUUUUCAGAUCAGUCGAGAAGGUGCCAUUUACAAAAAAAGGACUCCAAGGAACAUUUGCGGGAAGAUAAGACGUGUGAGCGGGCGGAGGAUGAUGUGAGGAAGACCUUGGAGGUGUUUGCAGACAUUGUUAACGGUGACCCUAGUUUUACAUAUAAAGUUCUUCAAGAAAAGAGUAGCAAAGUAAAGAACCUCAUGUGGACAAAUGGGAGCAGCAGAAUGCAGUAUAGAUUCUUUGCAAACGUCAUAACUUUCGACACCACUUACAGGACAAACGACAUGUCAUUUGGACUAUUUUUGGGGGUCAACAAUCUUUUUCAGUGUAUAAUACUUGCUGGUGUCUUGAUGAGGGACGAACAAGAAGAGAGUUUCGAAUGGGUGUGCUCAGAAUUCCUGCGGAUGAUGGGAGGCCCUGCUCCAAGGACUAUUCUGACAGGUAAGUCAUGCCUUGAUGAUGACUUUUGUUAUUACAGACCAGAGCAGAGCCAUGGAACUAGCCAUCAAGAAGGUUUCCCCAGAGACCGUGCUCAGGUGGUGCAAAUGGCAUGUCCUAAAGAAAGAGUGUUAGGGCCAUGUUAGGGCCAUGUUAGGGCCAUGUUCCACAAGGUUGUGAACCACAUGUUAACCAUAGAUGAGUUUGAGGCGGCUUGGGGUAUUCUCUUAGAUAAAUACAACUUGAGGAAACAUACUUACAUGACACAGUUAUAUGAGAUUAGAUACAAGUGGGCGAAGCCGUACUUCAAGGGAGUUUUCUGUGCCAAAAUGACGAGCACUCAACGCAGCGAAAGUGUGAACCGCAUGCUAAAGACCUACAUGCCAGCAUCGAGUCCAGUGCACGUGUUCAUGAGGCAAUACAUGAGGCUGCAGUUUGAUCGAGAAUGAGAGGAAAGCUAUGAGGAGAAGAGGACAAUGAUUGGUGGAGCAGUGAGAACUAAUUUGGCGAUAGAGCGGCAUGCAAGUAGGAUAUACACGAGAACAAUGUUUGAAGAGUUCGGGCUACUACUGAUUGAAGCCCACUGCCUAUAAUGUCACCAAAAUAGAGAAGAUGAGGAAAUAUCUAACGGUCCACAACAAUGCAGCCAAAAGAGAAAAAUGUAGCAGGGUUGAGUAUGAAGUGAACAUAAAUGAUGACCAAUCAGAGUUUACAUGAGAGUGUGGUCAGUUUGAGCGCACUGGGAUGUUGUGCAGCCAUGUUCUCAGGGCGAUGGAAAUGCUUCAUGUUGAAGAGAUCCCUGCUAAGCAUAUUCUGAAGCAAAGGACGCGAGGGACAUACUGCUGGAACAUCUAGCACAGUAUCAGAGGGACAACUCAGUUAACAUGUCCUUUCUAUGUAGGCACUCGAAGAUAUACUUGAAAGCCAUGGAGGUUGUGAGGAUGGGUGAUGCGAGCGCGGCAUGUAUGCAGGUCUGGACGCCCUGCUGCUGACUGGUGCACCUUUCGCUAAGAAGAGGGAGGGCUUGGGUUUCGAGGACCGAAUGGCUGGCUUAACUCCUGGUACAUUGCCUAGCAAGGGUGAGAUAGCAUAUUUGGGUGGAGAUGGUGCCAAAAAAUGCAUUAGCGCGGAUAAUUCUGUUAGUGUGAAUGAUCUUCAUGGUCUAACAGCACCAGAUAAGCAGAGUGGGGUUGGAAGACCAACAACUAGCCAAGAAAAGGCACCAUAAGAGGGACUUGGUAGGCGAACCAGGUUCUACAGUAUGUGCAGACGCGAAGGGCAUAAAUGAACUACAUGCCGUAAAAGGGGGAUGCCCCGAAGAAACCACGAAGACCCGGCAGAUGCAAGAAUUGCGGUAUGGAGGGGCAUAGGUGGGAUGCCCCGAAGAAACCACGAAGGCCCUGCAGAUGCAAGAAUUGCGGUAUGGAGGGGCACCGGCGUACCACAUGCACAAGGCCUCUGGGUGUUGCUGAGAAAUGAAGACUGAAAAUUAUGUAAUUUGUAUUUUAACUAGUUCAGCGGAUUUUCUGGUGUGUUUAUGAGACCGUGGCUCCACGCUUGUUCCUCAAUUUCCAGAGUAGUAGUGACGACUAUCCUGAUAUAAAAGAAAAUCUAGUUCUUGUGUAAUAUGAUGUUUCCUUAAAUUUUGAAUGGAACUGCUUUCUUCAA